rnacentral:rRNA from 1 species
AGAGUUUGAUCCUGGCUCAGGACGAACGCUGGCGGCGUGCCUAACACAUGCAAGUCGAGCGGAGGUAUGGAGUAGUUUACUACAAAGUACUUUAGCGGCGGCGGACGGGUGAGUAACACGUGGGCAACCUGCCUCGAAGUGGGGGAUAACACCGAGAAAUCGGUGCUAAUACCGCAUAACAUACAGACAUCACCUGAUGACUGUAUCAAAGGAGAAAUCCGCUUUGAGAUGGGCCCGCGGCUGAUUAGCUAGUUGGUGAGGUAAUGGCUCACCAAGGCGACGAUCAGUAGCCGACCUGAGAGGGUGACCGGCCACACUGGAACUGAGACACGGUCCAGACUCCUACGGGAGGCAGCAGUGGGGAAUAUUGCGCAAUGGGGGAAACCCUGACGCAGCAACGCCGCGUGGAGGAAGAAGGUCUUCGGAUUGUAAACUCCUGUCUUCUGGGACGAAAAAAAUGACGGUACCCUCAAAGGAAGCCACGGCUAACUACGUGCCAGCAGCCGCGGUAAUACGUAGGUGGCAAACGUUGUCCGGAAUUACUGGGCGUAAAGGGCGAGUAGGUGGUUUGCUAGUCAAAAGUGAAAUACCCGGGCUUAACCUGGGGGGUGCAUCUAAUACUGGUAGACUUGAGUGCAAGAGAGGGAAGUGGAAUUCCUAGUGUAGCGGUGAAAUGCGUAGAUAUUAGGAGGAACACCAGUGGCGAAGGCGACUUCCUGGCUUGUAACUGACACUGAGGCGCGAAAGCGUGGGGAUCAAACAGGAUUAGAUACCCUGGUAGUCCACGCCGUAAACGAUGAGUGCUAGGUGUCGGGGGUAUCGACCCCCUCGGUGCCGAAGUUAACACAUUAAGCAUUCCACCUGGGGAGUACGUACGCAAGUAUGAAACUCAAAGGAAUUGACGGGGACCCGCACAAGCGGUGGAGCAUGUGGUUUAAUUCGAAGCAACGCGAAGAACCUUACCAGGUCUUGACAUCCCUCUGACCGGUCCGUAACGGGACCUUUCCUUCGGGACAGAGGAGACAGGUGGUGCAUGGUUGUCGUCAGCUCGUGUCGUGAGAUGUUGGGUUAAGUCCCGCAACGAGCGCAACCCUUAUCUUUAGUUGAUAAAGGUGGGAACUCUAGCAGAACUGCCGUUGACAAAACGGAGGAAGGUGGGGAUGACGUCAAAUCAUCAUGCCCCUUAUGUCUUGGGCUACACACGUACUACAAUGGCUACUACAAAGAGGAGCAAGCCCGCAAGGGGGAGCAAAUCUUUUAAAGCCGGUCCCAGUUCGGAUUGCAGGCUGAAACUCGCCUGCAUGAAGUUGGAGUUGCUAGUAAUCGCGGAUCAGCAUGCCGUGGUGAAUGCGUUCCCGGGUCUUGUACACACCGCCC